rnacentral:rRNA from 1 species
UGGGGAAUAUUGCACAAUGGGCGCAAGCCUGAUGCAGCCAUGCCGCGUGUGUGAAGAAGGCCUUCGGGUUGUAAAGCACUUUCAGCGAGGAGGAAGGUGGUGAACUUAAUACGUUNAUCAAUUGACGUUACUCGCAGAAGAAGCACCGGCUAACUCCGUGCCAGCAGCCGCGGUAAUACGGAGGGUGCAAAGCGUUAAUCGGAAAUUUACUGGGCGUAAAAGCGCACGCAGGCGGUUUGUUAAGUCAGAUGUGAAAUCCCCGGGCUCAACCUGGGAACUGCAUUUGAAAACUGGCAAGCUAGAGUCUCGUAGAGGGGGGUAGAAUUCCAGGUGUAGCGGUGAAAUGCGUAGAGAUCUGGAGGAAUACCGGUGGCGAAGGCGGCCCCCUGGACGAAGACUGACGCUCAGGUGCGAAAAGCGUGGGGAGCAAAACAGGAUUAGAUACCCUGGUAGUCCACGCUGUAAAACGAUGUCGAUUUUGGAGGUUGUGCCCUUGAGGCGUGGCUUCCGGAGCUAAACGCGUUAAAAUCGACCGCCUGGGGAGUACGGCCGCAAGGUUAAAAACUU